AUUUUGUGAUGAGAAUAAGAAAGGGUUGUACCUUGUGAAAUUAAAAAAAAAUUAAUAUAAAAUGUAACUCUGUACUCCCGCAUGUGCAUUAAAUCAGGAUGCCACUAAGUCAUGUGACUACAGGGCUGAGGGGGUACCUGGAGUCCUGACUUCCGGAAGGGACUGGUAGAAGUCCUCAUGGGGUAGGUGACGUGUCUGCAAGUCAGGACUCGGGACCCAGACUGUCCAAUCAGAAAGCCCCUGUGGGAUUGACAUCAGGACCUUAUAAGAAAGGGGACUGAGUGGACUCUUGCUGGCUGGACAAGCCUCUUGCUCCUUUCUCUGGAGUGUGACACUGCUCUUGAGAGCCUUGGCUGGGAGCCGGAUCCAGGGAAGCAUAGUGUAGCUUGGAGACUUUCUUUAGUUAGGACAGCCUGGUGAUGGUUCUCUCUGUCUGUCUGUCUGUCUGUCUUCCUGUCUGUCUGUCUCCCUGUCUAUCUCAGUCUGUGUCUCUCUGUUUCUCUCUAUCUGUCUCUCUCUCUGUCUCCCUGUCUGUCUGUCUCCCUGUCUGUCUGUUUAUCUCCCUCUGUCUCUGUUUCUUCAUCUCUCUGUCUGUCCCCCUGUCUGUCUGUCUCUCUCUGUCUCUGUCUUCUCUCUCUGUCUCUGUUUCUCCAUCUCUCUCUCCCUCUAUCUCUCUCCCUGUCUCUGUGUCUCUCCCUCUGUUUCUCUCUCUCCAUCUCUGUCUUUUUGUCUGUCUCCCUCUCUGUCUGUCUCUGUUUCUCUCUCUCUCUCCAUCUCUCUGUCUCUCACUUUCGCUAAUAAAUAAUUAUAAAUUAAUUCUCCAAGGAAUUUUACUCAUUACAAAAGCCAGGGAAUCUAGGAGUAGAGAUGAAGAAGGAUAAUAGAAAUGAGCAAAUGAACUGUGGGGAGCAGCCAGAGAAAAUGCUUGGAGCCUGGAGAGAUUGUAUUGUUUUAGGAGCAACAAGGAAGUCAGGUUCACUGGAUUAGAGAGUAUGAGAGGGUGGAAGGUAUAAAAAGAUGAGAAAACGUAGGGCCAGCUGAGUGGCUCAGUGGAUGGAGAGUCAGGCCUGCAGACCAGAGGUCCUGGGUUCAAAUGACCUCCGACACUUCCUAGCUGUGUGGCCCUGGGCAAGUCACUUAAUCCCAAAUUGUCUAGCCCUUACCACUUCUGCUUUGGAAUUUAGCAUCAAUUCUAAAACAGAAGGUAAGAGUUAAAAAAAAAAAGAGAAAGAAGGGGUGGGGUCAGGUGGGGGAGGGAGCAAGGCUAUGAAGGGCUUUAAAUGCCCAAUAGAGAAUUUGAUAUUUUGUCUUGGAGGUGACAGGAAGACACUGAAAUUGACUGAAUAGGGAAAUGACAUGGUUAGAGUCCCACUUUGGGAAGGUCACGUUGACAGCUCAUUGGAAGAUGGAUGGCUGAGAUAAAAGAUGAGGCUGGGAGUAGCAGGCAACUGCAGUAGCACAGGUGUGAGGGGAUGAUGGCCUGAACCAGAGUGGUGGCUGUUUCAGAGGAGAUAAGGGAGUGUGUUUUAGAGAUGCCACUAAGGUGAAAUCUACAGGCCUUGGCAACAGAUUGGAUAUGGGAGAAUGAGAGAGAGUAAAGCAUCAAGGAAGACACCUUAAGUUUUGAGCCUCAGAGACUUCUACUCUGGUAAAUGUUAGCUCUCCAGAAACAAACAAACAAACAAACAAAAAGUCAAUCUCCACUGCCCCCAACCCCAAUAAAAUAAAAGAAAAAACAAAAAGUGUACA
ensembl:lncRNA